AUGCUCACUUCGGUAGCACAUAUACUAAACUGGAAACAGUACAGAGAAGAUUAGCAUGGCCCCUGUGCAAGGAUGACAUGCAAAUUUGUGACACGUUCCAUAUUUUC